CGGGGUGUAGCGCAGUUGGUAGCGCGCCAGUUUUGGGAACUGGAUGUCGUCGGUUCGAAUCCGGUCACCCCGACCA
rnacentral:tRNA from 1 species